rnacentral:rRNA from 1 species
AGAAUCAACGCUGGCGGCGUGCCUAACACAUGCAAGUCGAACGCGAAAGUCCCGCAAGGGAUGAGUAGAGUGGCAAACGGGUGAGUAACACGUGGGUGACCUGCCUUCAAGUGGGGGAUAACGUCCCGAAAGGGACGCUAAUACCGCAUAACAUGCCGCUUUUUAACAGGCGGACAUCAAAGCCGGGGAUCGCAAGACCUGGCGCUAGAAGAGGGCCCGCGCCUGAUUAGCUAGUUGGUGGGGUAAUGGCUCACCAAGGCGACGAUCAGUA